rnacentral:rRNA from 1 species
AACGAACGCUGGCGGCAUGCCUAACACAUGCAAGUCGAACGAGAUCCUUCGGGGUCUAGUGGCGCACGGGUGCGUAACGCGUGGGAAUCUGCCCUUAGGUUCGGAAUAACAGUUAGAAAUGACUGCUAAUACCGGAUGAUGACGUUAAGUCCAAAGAUUUAUCGCCUGAGGAUGAGCCCGCGUAGGAUUAGCUAGUUGGUGUGGUAAAGGCGCACCAAGGCGACGAUCCUUAGGUGGUCUGAGAGGAUGAUCAGCCACACUGGGACUGAGACACGGCCCAGCCUCCUGGGGGGGGCAGCGGGGGAGAAUAUGGAACGGGGGGCCGAAGGCUGAACCAACGAUGCGGGGAGGGGGAAGGAGGCCUUGGGGUUGAAAGCCUCUUCUACCCGGGAAGAAAAGAACGGACCCGGGGAAAAAGCCCCGGCCAAACCCCGG